CGUGGAGACAGGUGGUGCAUGGCUGUCGUCAGCUCGUGUCGUGAGAUGUUGGGUUAAGUCCCGCGACGAGCGCAACCCUCACCCCUAGUUGCCACCGGGUUAAGCCGAGCACUCAAGGGGAACUGCCAGCGUCAAGCUGGAGGAAGGCGGGGAUGACGUCAAGUCAUCAUGCCCCUUACGCCCUGGGCUACACACGUGCUACAAUGGCCAGUACAAAGGGACGCGAGACUGCGAAGUGGAGCUAAUCCCAAAAAGCUGGUCUAAGUUCAGAUUGCAGUCUGCAACUCGACUGCAUGAGGGAGGAAUCGCUAGUAAUCGCGUAUCAGCCCGGCGCGGUGAAUACGUUCCCGGGCCUUGUACACACCGCCCGUCACACCACGAAAGCUGUCUGUACUCGAAGUCGCUGAG
rnacentral:rRNA from 1 species